rnacentral:rRNA from 1 species
UACGAGGGGUGCAAGCGUUGCUCGGAAUUAUUGGGCGUAAAGGGUAGGUAGGUGGUCUCAUUUGUCUGGGGUGAAAGCCUUGAGCUUAACUCAAGAAGUGCCCCAGAAACGGUGAGACUCGAGUACUGGAGAGGGUCGUGGAAUUCCCGGUGUAGCGGUGAAAUGCAUAGAGAUCGGGAGGAACACCAGAGGCGAAGGCGGCGACCUGGACAGUUACUGACACUCAACUACGAAAGCGUGGGGAGCAAACAGG